GAAACUUUCCCCGGCGUGUUCGCUGCUCAUCUCCUCGUCUUUCAAGAAGUGUGACUCUUGAAACCCGUCCAUAAAUUCCUCUAGAUUGAUCGUGCCGUCUUUGUCUGUGUCAAGUCUGGAGAAAAUCGCAUCUAUCUCGAAUAAGGAUUUGAAGAUGACAGAAACAUCAUAUGCAGCUGUGUAAAUGAAGAAGUGCUCAAAGAGAUCUCUGUUUUCAACAACAACAUGCACCAUCUUCACAAUGUUCACAGAACUACACCAGUCAGCUCUUUAUGCAAGAUUAUUGAAACAAAAAGCCCUUGAGCAACCUCCCCUAAAUGACUCUCAUAUCGAGCAGUGUCAUGCACCUAUACAACACAGACAGAAAAUGAUAAGCACAGAUGGAGGAAACUAAGCAACACACACCACAUCUCUGAAUGACAUCUGCAAAUACCUCAACUGUUAGAUUUAAUAAUAAUGAUUUAAUCUGUGCAAUCUCUGUUGUACUUUUGUGCAUCUCUGCACAGAAACCAUAGAAAAUUCUGCACAAACUCAAAUCAAAUCACUCUGGGUCUCUAUUGGUCAUGAACAAACAUACAGGAUUCUUAAGCUGUAAGAAAAAAAACUUGUGCUUUUUAUGAAUGCGUUAACAUCUCACUGCUGUAGCAUAGAGUGGACAGCUCAGAUCUGACAAUGUUUUGAUGUAGGAAAAUGAAAAAAAUGAAGAGUCAGCUGUCUUAUUUCAUGCAUCAUUCCUGCAGAAAUGCAUACUGAAUAAAAUAUCAUAGAGGGUGUCAUUGAGCCAUUGGUCAUGUGAAACAUGACCUGGUUCUGUCCACCUUUGCAUGUUUUAAUGCAUAUAUUAUCUUAUGAUUAACAACUUAUAGUAAUGAAACAACCUAACAUUUUGACCGUUAUCUAAGAGCAUUCUAGGAUGCAUCACUGAACCUGAAACCAGGGCAUCAUACUCAUUUUAGUAUUACAUCAGAGGCUGGUGAAUCUCACAAAAACUGUCAAAAACAUGUAAACAAUAUAUUAC